CUUCAACCUUUAGCUGUGUUAAUUUCGCGUUCACCUAGUACUUGGGCUCGACGCAGAUAAAGCAGAACCUGCGAGACGCUAUGACGCCAGAUGAGUGGAGGAAGCUUAUGUGUGCUGCUGUUGCAGACGCUGGCCUGGGUUCUGUUGGGCUGGACGAAGAUGACAUAGAUAAGCUCUGGGCAGCGAAGUACAACACCGCUGACCGUUUGCGGACUGCCAGACGGGAAGGGCUCGUCGACGCGCGUCUGGCGCCUGGCGUGGUGGAUGCUAUUAUAGGUAAAUCCUAAGCGCGAUUCCUUCUCAACUCAUACCUUGCCGAAGAGUCCGCGUUGCGUGUGCUCCGGCUACUAUUGGUCGCUCUCAAUUUGAAGACAAAACCAACUUAAGCAACCUGUGUGCGCACACAUUGAACGGGGUUGGCCAUUAGGCUGGUUGUUUUUUGGGGUACAUCUGAGGCUGCGGCGCAGACCCUGCCAAAUAGCGUGUCGGGAAAAUAUUUUGCAUUAGGGAUUGCUUCUGUCCCAUACCUGGUAUCGUAACCAAAACACGCAUAACGAGGGCUUGCCGUGAC
rnacentral:lncRNA from 1 species